AACGAACGCUGGCGGCAUGCCUAACACAUGCAAGUCGAACGAGACCUUCGGGUCUAGUGGCGCACGGGUGCGUACCGCGUGGGAACUUGCCCUUGGGUUCGGAAUACCUCCCCGAAGGGGGUCUUAAUACCGGUUAAGCUCUUCGGACCAAAGAUUUACCGCUUUUGGAUGGGCCCUCGUUGGAUUAGCUGGUUGGUAGGGUAAAAGCCUAUCAAGGCGACGAUCCUUAGCUGGUCUGAGAGGAUGAUCAGCCACACUGGGACUGAGACACGGACCAGACUCCUACGGGAGGGAGCAGAGGGGAAUAUUGGACGAUGAGCGAAAGCCUGAUACAGCAAUGCCGCGUGAGUGAUGAAGGCGUUAGGGUUGUAAAGCUCUUUUAGCCGGGAUGAUAAUGACAGUACCGGGAGAAUAAGCACCGGCUAACUACGUG
rnacentral:rRNA from 1 species